UUGAACGCUGGCGGCAUGCCUUACACAUGCAAGUCGAACGGUAGAGGGGCAACCCUUGAGAGUGGCGAACGGGUGAGUAAUAUAUCGGAACGUGCCCAGUCGUGGGGGAUAACGCAGCGAAAGCUGCGCUAAUACCGCAUACGAUCUAUGGAUGAAAGCGGGGGAUCGCAAGACCUCGCGCGAUUGGAGCGGCCGAUAUCAGAUUAGGUAGUUGGUGGGGUAAAAGCCCACCAAGCCGACGAUCCGUAGCUG
rnacentral:rRNA from 1 species